rfam:Schistosoma margrebowiei strain Zambia genome assembly, scaffold: SMRZ_scaffold0003942
AUCCGGCUGACGAGUCUCAAAUAGGACGAAACGCGCGUCCUGGAU